AUACAUAAUCUCAGGAUCUGAAACGUCCUGCGAUAAAAUCGUGUUUCCUUCGAUCGAGAGUCGAGAAAGAGAGAAGGGGAAGGGCUCGCUUAAGGUUCAGCCAACACGGAAGAAACGUCGAUAUCUCGCGAAGAUAAGGAAACAAGGAAGGAUAUUAAGCCGCGAACUGGCACGAUUCAAUCUCGAUCGUUGAGAAACGAACUUAAUCGAGCUCGGGACACGUUGACAUUGCUACCGUUGCUGCCGUUGCUAUUGCUACUAUUUCUGCCGUUACUCUCUUGCCGAAUUGCGUUAUAAAUUUCAUAUCGGCAGAUAUAAAAGCCUGGCAGAAUCGAUCGGAAGCCGCGUGAAUUUCGUUUCUAGUUGGAGUAUUGGAUUUGUUGCAGGCUGCCGUACGCUCUCCGGUUAUAUGUCCUCGUCUACUACGUCAUCGAUCGAUUUAAUGCGUUUCCGUCCGGAAUUAUUUCGGGAAUAUCAAACGCAACGGCGGUCGUCCGGGAUACAAGGUACGAGUGAAAUACACCGUCUAUAGGCGCAUCUACCUUCGAAGAGGGAGAGAAGGCGUCUUUGAGAAAAGAAAAGGAAUCGUUAACGACCUCAGUAGAGAAAGUAUGGGAAGGAGGGAAAGAGAGGACGUUAAUUAACCGACUAUCGAAGACUAAUUCACGGGGACUAGAUUCUUUGGCAAGUGAGGAUAUAGCGGAAAGAAAAUAUAGGAAGGAAUACGUUGCUCGAUGACUGUGUUUUAUUUCGAAAAGGGAAGACAAGGAAAAACUUUGGGACGGACGAUCAAGAGGCAAUGUCUUAAUCAGUCGUUGAUCGAGCAUGCAUUUGUAAAGACAUUUCCGAUCUUAUACGAGGCAUUGUCAAGAUUCUUUGAAAAACAAAUCGAUAUAUCGAUUCGCGCACGGUUAACUCGACGUUAAACCAAUUAAUUAGCCAUCGACCGAAGCCCCGAAAGAAUCGGAUCUUUGAAGAAAAAAAGUAAAACGAAAGGAACGUAGUGGGUACCUACGUGACUACGUACGAAUGGAAAGCGAGAAGAAGAAGGUUAAAUUUCUCUUGGAAAAAUCGCAGUGAGAGAUGCACUGAGAGAGACUGCGAGGGCAGAUUUCGUUCGCUCACGGAAGAAAAGGAGGAAGAAAAAGAAGAAGAAGAAGAAGAAGUAGAAGAAGGCAAACGCUCGCGAGCCGACGCAACCCCCUGUGCGUUUCCUACCCUUCAAGCGGAGCACCAUCUAUCCGAGUACACAAUAGUAGUAGCAGUGGUAGUAGUAGUAAUAGUAGUAGUAGUAAUGGUUGAGUACAAGGAUGAGAAGGAGCUAAAGGGAGAAGAAUGGUUCGCGAUAGUAGCUGACUAGGUGCGCAAGCGCGUGUCUCCGACUCUGUGCGCGAGCGCAUUGGCGGCUCGGCUCGGCUCGGCGUCGACGUCGACGUCGUUUUGCGAGAAAAUUGAUUCUGCGCGAAAGAGGAAUACCCAGAGAGCGAGAGAGAGAGAGAGAGAGAGAGAGAAAGCAAGAGGGAGAACGAGCCACCGACGAACCGGGGGUCUUCGCACGCUGACACAGAGACAAACUCGGAGCACGAAAGGACGACACUCUUUCGAGGACGAUCGACGAUCUCGCAUCGACAUAUUCUCCUUCUUUUCCUUCGUUCAAGAAAAUCCUCCGAAAGAUCUUCGUAUAUAUACCCUCCCUCUCUCUUUCUUUCUCUCUUUCUCUCUCUCUCUCUCUCU